rnacentral:rRNA from 1 species
UUUUCAGCAGCCGCGGUAAUACGGAGGGUCCAAGCGUUAUCCGGAAUCAUUGGGUUUAAAGGGUCCGUAGGCGGUUUAAUAAGUCAGUGGUGAAAGCCUAUCGCUUAACGAUAGAACGGCCAUUGAUACUGUUAGACUUGAAUUAGUGGGAAGUAACUAGAAUAUGUAGUGUAGCGGUGAAAUGCUUAGAUAUUACAUGGAAUACCAAUUGCGAAGGCAGGUUACUAUCACUAUAUUGACGCUGAUGGACGAAAGCGUGGGGAGCGAACAGGAUUAGAAACCCGUGUAGUCC